rnacentral:snoRNA from 1 species
ACGACCUUACUUGAACAGGAUCUGUUCUAUAGGCUCGUACCGUUGCAUCCUUUACCGAUAAGGAGACAAGCUCUGAAGUCUGGUUGAUGAGACUAUGACCUCUAGUCCAGAGCGUGAUUAACGGCCUGGAUGCUCUCUGAUGGGAGCCAUCCGACGGCUGUAGAGGAUCGUUCCUGCCUGUGGUGUUAAACUCUGGUGCAGGGUGGCUCAGAGGUUGUCUGACAGACU